AACGAACGCUGGCGGCGUGCCUAACACAUGCAAGUCGAGCGGGAAAGUCCCCUUCGGGGGGCGAGUAUAGCGGCGAAUGGGUGAGUAACACGUAGGUAACCUGCCCUGGAGAUCGGGAUAACCCAUCGAAAGACGGGCUAAUACCGGAUGAGACCACGGGGUCUUCGGACCUUGGGGGAAAAGGUGGCCUCUGCUUGCAAGCUACCACUUCAGGAUGGGCCUGCGAGCCAUUAGCUUGUUGGUGAGGUAACGGCUCACCAAGGCAAAGAUGGCUAGCUGGUCUGAGAGGACGAUCAGCCACACUGGAACUGGUACACGGUCCAGACUCCUACGGGUGGCUG
rnacentral:rRNA from 1 species